rnacentral:rRNA from 1 species
UCCUCCCUCUGGCGGCGUGCUUAACACAUGCAAGUCGAACGGAAAGGCCCUGCUUUUGUGGGGUACUCGAGUGGCGAACGGGUGAGUAACACGUGAGUAACCUGCCCUUGACUUUGGGAUAACUUCAGGAAACUGGGGCUAAUACCGGAUAGGAGCUCCUGCUGCAUGGUGGGGGUUGGAAAGUUUCGGCGGUUGGGGAUGGACUCGCGGCUUAUCAGCUUGUUGGUGGGGUAGUGGCUUACCAAGGCUUUGACGGGUAGCCGGCCUGAGAGGGUGACCGGCCACAUUGGGACUGAGAUACGGCCCAGACUCCUACGGGGGGCAGCAGUGGGGAAUAUUGCACAAUGGGCGGAAGCCUGAUGCAGCAACGCCGCGUGCGGGAUGACGGCCUUCGGGUUGUAAACCGCUUUCGCCUGUGACGAAGCGUGAGUGACGGUAAUGGGUAAAGAAGCACCGGCUAACUACGUG